GGAACACUGUGCCGACCUGCAGGGUUGUGUGAAUGAAGGGGAAGGACAAUUUGAUUGAAUGAGCAUGGUGGCGACUGAACUGAUCCUGCUGGCCUGUUAGAGGGAUCGAGGAACACGGACAGAGGUCCUGUCCUCUGCUGUCUCCUGUUCUAUUCCC